GGCUCAAGUGUUGGACGGAGAAAGCAAUAUCAGGUCGUGUAUGGGUUAGAAAGUUGAGUUGACCUAUUAAUCGACGAUAAAUGGUAGAAUCUGGGAGUGGAGAACCCAUGUCAGACUGCAAUUUUUGAGUUGGGUCUAGAGGAGAAGAGGCUGGUUUAGAGUCAUGAACAUCAUAUUCAAAGAGGAGCUCCAACACUAACUUUCUCUGAUUAAGGAUAAAGCCUUGAGGUUCACGAAUGACUUCAAUGCCCAAAAAAUAGUGGCAUCAAACUUAUUUUGUGUGCUAAUAUGGGAGCUCCUUGCAGCAGAGUUAUUAUCGACAGCCUUGUGAAUCUCUGGUGCCGGUCCUUUCUCCUUCCCUGCUACAGUUGAUUUAUGUCCCUUUUUGGCAUUCCCUUCUUCAAGACUUCCCACUACUUUUCCACUGGCUAACAUUAGGGGAAGUUGGUUAUUCAUCCUUUGUUGUUUGUGCUCGUCCUUUGCUGUAGCAAUUUCUUGUGCAUAUGAUUCCUCUCCCUUAUUUUCAAUUCUUCCUUUUUCAUUUGCAUUUCCUUUUCCUUUUCCAGUCUUUAAAUCAGGGUUCAAAACUCUGCAUUCCAUUUCAUUAUGCCCUUGCAAUUUACACUCAAAGCAGUAUUUUGGCAAAUAAUCAUAUCUGA